rnacentral:lncRNA from 1 species
ACACACACACAUGCACGCAUGCACACACACACACACAGAAGGUGAACACACAGGAUGAGGCCCUGAAAACUCAUUUCACCCGUGUACCUCACCCAAAAAUUCCCCUUUGUACUCCUAUCUUUAUCUCUAACUGACAGCAUGAAGGUAGCCCGAAGUCCCCUCACCCUGUCUGUCCUCCUGAUUCUCUAGCCCAGUUCCCUCUAGCUCCAGCACAGACUCUUAUCUCCAGCCCUGACUGCCGAAACCCUCCAGCCCCAGCUCCAGCCCCUCAGGAGGGGACUGCGUGGGAGGAAUGACUCCAGCAAGCCGGCAGCUGACCCGUCUCCUGCCUGCACGCCUCCCGCUGUGGUCCACUGCCGGUGGUCUUCAGCUCUCUCCUCGUCCCACCCCCAUGGUCUGCUGACAGCCCAGCUCAGUGCAUCCCUGCCAUCUCUGCUCUACCGCUGGUCCUCCCAACAACCAACUUACAGGUUUGGGGGCACACGUGAAGGUUUGACAUAUAGUAAACACAUGUCAUGGUGGUUUGUUGUACAGAUUAUUACAUCACCCAGGGUUUCACUCCCGUCACCCAGACUGGAGUACAAUGGUGCGA